rnacentral:ribozyme from 2 species
ACCUUAAUGCAGCUGGUGCCGACAUUUGUGUCGGUGCCAAAGGUCGCAAGCCCUGAAAAUGCAGAGCGAGGA